UACAGAGGGGGCAAGCGUUGUUCGGAAUUACUGGGCGUAAAGCGUGCGCAGGCGGCUUUGCAAGACAGAUGUGAAAUCCCCGGGCUUAACCUGGGAACUGCAUUUGUGACUGCAUGGCUGGAGUGCGGCAGAGGGGGAUGGAAUUCCGCGUGUAGCAGUGAAAUGCGUAGAUAUGCGGAGGAACACCGAUGGCGAAGGCAGUCCCCUGGGCCUGCACUGACGCUCAUGCACGAAAGCGUGGGGAGCAAACAGG
rnacentral:rRNA from 1 species